rnacentral:misc_RNA from 1 species
CAAUCAUUGAAACAGGAAGCUCAACAACAAAGAAACACUAGCUCACAGAGACUGCAACGCAAAUGCCAGUGAAAUUUCACUGUUCCCGUUGCUAAACAUCAAAUUUUCUACUAUCGAAGAUGUCAAAAAACAAAAAUAAUCUCAUUAAUCGAAUUCAAGAAUUAAACUUUCCCACGAAAAAGUUCAGGCCAAAUUUUGCCAUCUAUCCAUGAGAUUCACUGAAUUAACGAAUACCCUUAAUCAGUUCUCUCUCGUGAAAAUGAAAAAAAAAAUUACGCAAACAACCGCACACGUAUGGGCAGAGUUCCAUAAGAAAGAAUCACAAGUUCUAGAU